CGUCAAACUACAUGUACCUGGCGAUACCGUGACAAAUAUUGCCUGCUUUAAUAUGUUAGAUUACAUGACACACAAUAAUAACAAAAACUGAUCUAACAUUUUCAAGUUAGUUUCAAUUCAUUGUAACCAUAUAUAUCCUGAUUGUACAUGUAUAACCUUUCAAUAUGUCAAUUCUCAAUCAUUGUAUGACAGACGACAUUCAGGAAUUA
rnacentral:lncRNA from 1 species